rnacentral:rRNA from 1 species
UUACAAGUCAUAUGGAUUCCUACGGGAGGCAGCAGUGGGGAAUAUUGCGCAAUGGCCGCAAGGCUGACGCAGCGACGCCGCGUGUGGGAUGACGGCCUUCGGGUUGUAAACCACUGUCAGGGGGGACGAAUACUCGGCUUGACCGAGGGUGACGGUACCUCCAAAGGAAGCACCGGCUAACUCCGUGCCAGCAGCCGCGGUAAUACGGAGGGUGCGAGCGUUGUCCGGAAUCACUGGGCGUAAAGGGCGCGUAGGCGGUUCGUUAAGUCUGCCGUGAAAGCCCCGGGCUCAACCUGGGAAUUGCGGUGGAUACUGGCGGGCUAGAGUGCGGUAGAGGGUAGUGGAAUUCCCGGUGUAGCAGUGAAAUGCGUAGAGAUCGGGAGGAACAUCAGUUGCGAAGGCGGCUACCUGGACCAGCACUGACACUGAGGCACGAAAGCGUGGGGAGCAAACAGGAUUAGAUACCCUGGUAGUCCACGCCCUAAACGAUGCGAACUGGACGUUGGGCUCAAUUGAGAGUUCAGUGUCGAAGCUAACGCGUUAAGUUCGCCGCCUGGGGAGUACGG